UCGGAGCCCUUGCAUGGAGCUGGAGAAGCAAAUGUAAUGUACAUUACAUUCACUUCACGUAACGCUCCUGAGCGAUGUCUUUGUGAGUGUUUUUUUUUUUCUUACUGGCAGCUAAAAAUAGCAUCAGUGUUUGAUCUUGGUCCAGAAAUAGGCAGAGGGUUUCACUUGUAUAAAAAGGACUGCGAUUCUGAGAAAACUUGGACGUGUUGCUGAGGAUAGAAAUGAAUCGAGGGCAGUAUGUGAGCUUGUUGUUUUUUUCUGUAAUGUGAUCACGGCUGACUGAAUUUAUACUCACGUAUAUGUUUUCCCUGCUUUCAGCAAGGGCUUGCAGCACUGGGAAAAGUGAACAAACUUGAGGGAUCCAUCGGCUAAAGGACUGGAGGUGAAACGCUCCGUCCAUCCUCUUGAUCGUGACCGUGACGUCACUGCCAUUAAAAUCAUGUGAUGGCAGGACAUCAAGGCAAAAGAGAGAUGAGGGGCUCAACUGAGUACGUUCCUCAAGGAAGGAGAUGGACAGAUAACACGAAUGGAAGCUGACACAGGAAAAGGAUGGAGUCGAUCAAAAAAAGAGUGUGGAAAAGGCCUCAGUCGUGAGAACAGUCGAGUUCCUGCAGUCAUCUGAUUCAGAACAUGCUCAUGGGAGGACAAAGAAAUAAGAAGGAUCCAACCCUGGGAAAACUUGUAACUUGAAGAUGCACAAGAUUAACCUCAUAUCAGUGACUUUAAUUCUGCUUUACACCUGUUAAUGGAUAUUCAGCAAGUUGAUUAAUUUGUAGCAGGACAAUAACACCUUCAGGUAUUUAAAAUCUCUGUUUGUAAAGGACUUCUUGUAUGAGCUGGACAUUGCUAAUGUUGUCAAUUUCAGACGUAUUUUUUCUGUUUUGUAUAAAUGUAGAGCAAAUACUACACUCAGAAAAGUGAUAACAGUUUUAAGGUAAAUAAAUAAAUACAUAAUAAAGGUAAACAUAAAAUCGCGUACAGAUUAUGUCCUCGUUGCUGUAGGUGUUCACGCGCUGAGUGAAAUUGUGUAGACCAGAGGAUCACGUGAACGCUUGUGUUGAUUUGUUGUGUUUUAAUUUGAAAGUCGUGGUAGGACAAGACAAAUGUAAUCUGAUUUAAUCUCAUAUUCUUCUGAGCAUUUAUUGUACCAUUGUAAAUAAUACUCUGUAUAUAUGUCUUAGAAUAGUUUUGUUGUGCGAGUGCUAAGAACAGCACGUGUGACCAGAGAGCAAAAGGAUGUUUUAAGGCUGUUGUAGCAAUCUGCAGCUGUCGCUGUCCGCUGCGCGUGGUGCUGAAUUGUGCGCGAACGGGACAAAGAAGCUUAUAAUUUCUAUUGAACAAAGCUAAAGUUUCUAUACGUUCUCUUAUUGUAUGGUGUAUUGUAUAUGUAUAAUACAGUUUAAUUACAUUGGUGUUUAAAAACGAUGUUAAAUUGUGGUCUAACAAAAAAGAUGACAUGGUUUUAGGAUAACUAGAUGGUAAACUAAUAAUAUUCAUCUUAUUUAAAGUAUCAUAGGGUUAUAGGGGGCUGAGUAAUGGCAAAUAUUGGGGGCAAGAUCAGUAAGUGUCGAGGAGGUUAAACAGGAAUUUAAAAUUGGACGAGUGUGUUAAAAGUAAGAGUGACUGAGAAGGUGUGUGUUUGUUUUUGUGAGUGAGUGAGAGAGAGAGAGAGUGUGUGUGUGUGUGUGUGUGUGUGUGUGUGUGUGUGUGUGUGUGUGCGUGUUUUUGUGAUUUACGAGGACAAUUUUGUAAGUUAGAAAUUAGUAAUUACAAGGGUAUUAUGCUAUAAAUGUGAUUUAUGAGGACAUUUCUAGUGCCCCCAUAAUUCAAAUCGCUUAAAAAUCAUACUAAACAAUGUUUUAUUGAAAAUGUAAAAAUGCAGAAGGUUUUCUGUGAUGAUUAGGUUUAGGGGUUGUGUUAGGUUUAGAGGAUAGAAUCUAUAGUUUGUACAGUAUAAAAGUCAUUAUGUCUAUGGAAAGUCCUCAUAAUGAUAGGUAGACCAACAUGAGUGUGUGUGUGUGUGUGUGUGUGUGUGUGUGUGUGUGUGUGUGUGUGUGUGUGUGUGUGUGUGUGUGAAGGAAUUCAUAUUGAAAAUUGUAUGUGUAGUUUGUUAGUACAAAGGCAGUACAAUUUUAACAAAUCCAGAUUUUACGUAUACUAUAAUGUAUAUAAUUAUAAUCGCAAAAUAUAGCCUACUGUGGUUCAAACGUUGACAUUUUAGCGCUCUGUGAAUAUCGGAUUAAUCUAGCUCCACGUGUCUUUUAUUUUCAUGACGUGCUCUUUUUUCUGCUUUGAUGUUUUUCGUGAUAUAUGUCUGUAUUUAUUUAAAUAUUUAAAUCAUGCAGUGUACUACGUCGGAAUGUAACUGUUUUGAAUUGUCUAGUUAUAUCUCUACAUGAUAUCAAGUGGCUAAGUGGAUGUACAUUGCAAAAUCCGAAUGCUGGAAGUUUGUCGUUCUUGUGGAUUCUUUACUGACAUUUGAAUUACAAUAUUAUGUUAUAAACUGAUUUCUUCCU